rnacentral:rRNA from 1 species
UACAGAGGUCUCAAGCGUUGUUCGGAUUCAUUGGGCGUAAAGGGUGCGUAGGUGGCGAGGUAAGUCAGGUGUGAAAUCUCGGAGCUCAACUCCGAAACUGCACUUGAUACUGCCCUGCUCGAGUACUGGAGAGGAGAUUGGAAUUUACGGUGUAGCAGUGAAAUGCGUAGAUAUCGUAAGGAAGACCAGUGGCGAAGGCGAAUCUCUGGACAGUUACUGACACUGAGGCACGAAGGCCAGGGGAGCAAACGGG